GAUGAACGCUGGCGGCGUGCCUAAUACAUGCAAGUCGAGCGAAGCGGGGACGGGUGAGUAACACGUGGAUAACCUCCUAUAAGACUGGGAUAACUUCGGGAAACCGGAGCUAAACCGGAUAAUUAUAGAUGGAUCUGCGCUGCAUUAGCUAGUUGGUAAGGUAACGGCUUACAAAGGCAAGGAUGCAUAGCCGACCUGAGAGGGUGAUCGUAUACACUGGAAGUGUGACACGGUCCAGACUCCUACGGGAGGCAGCAGUAGGGAAGCUUCCGCAAUGGGCUAAAGUCCUACCGAGCAACGCCGCGUGAGUGAAGAAGGUUUUCGGAUCGUAAAACUCUGUUGUUAGAGAAGCGGUAUCUAACCAGAAAGCCACGGCUAACUACGUGCCAGCAGCCGCGGUAAUUU
rnacentral:rRNA from 1 species